UGUGAAAUAGAAUUAAGAGGACAUAGUUUACAUGUACAUUAAACAGCUAGAUAAUAAGUACCAGUGCACUCCAGGAAUCGGUAUAGGUUUGGCAUGAAAUUUUGUCACUUACAUAGAACUCGAGACAAAACAAAAUACACAUUUGAAAUGGCAAACAAAUACACAUGUUUUUUUUCGCGCAUACUUCAUAAGUUUGUUUGCAAUGGGUCUUAUCCAAUUUGUAUUUAUGCAAGUAAACUUUGUU
rnacentral:lncRNA from 1 species